AACUUUCAGCAACGGAUCUCUUGGCUCUCGCAUCGAURAAAAACGCAGCGAAAUGCGAUAAGUAAUGUGAAUUGCAAAAUUCAGUGAAUCAUCGAAUCUUUGAACGCAUCUUGCGCUCCUUGGUAUUCUGAGGAGCAUGCCUGUUUGAGUGUCAUAAA
rnacentral:rRNA from 1 species